rnacentral:rRNA from 1 species
GCAAGUCGAGGGGUAACAGUCUUCGGAUUGUGGAACAUGGCGGACGGGUGAGUAACACGUAGAUAAUCUGCCUUUAAGUUGGGGAUACCCCAUGGAAACAUGGAAUAAUACCGAAUAAAAUCCUAAGGUCAUAAGGCCAUUGGAUGAAAGGAGCUUCGGCUUCGCUUAAAGAUGAGUCUGCGGCUCAUUAGCUAGUUGGUGGGGUAAUGGCCUACCAAGGCAAUGAUGAGUAGCCGGCCUGAGAGGGUGAUC